rnacentral:tRNA from 1 species
AUAAAGAUGUCAGAGGUUUAUUAUGAGUUGAUUUUAAGCGUCAAUUAGGGGAAGUUUCCCUCUUUAUU